GCCGGGAUAGCUCAGUUGGUAGAGCAGCUCACUUGUAAUGAGCAGGUCGUCGGUUCGAGCCCGACUCUCGGCUCCA
rnacentral:tRNA from 1 species